CGGGGGGGAGGGGCGGCGAGGCGAGGCCUGCGGAGCGGAGGAAGACAAACAUAAAGAUGAAGUGCUUAAUUCAAGGUCACACAAUGUCGGGGAUGGACCUCCAGAUUUCCUUACUGACCUGCAUUAUCUUGUGGAUACCUGAGUGAAUUCCACACCACCCAUUUUAUAGAUGAAACCACUGAGACAUGGAGCAAUUGACUGAGUAGUCACUGCCCCACCCCUGCCUGGAGCCUCACACAUGACUCGCCUCCUCUCAGUGACCACAGGUUGGUUGAGGGGUUUAACAAGGCUAAGAAGGUGAGACGUGGUCUUGUAACACAGUGGUUAAGAAUGUGACUUUGGAGCCAGCCUGCUAGGGGCUGAAUUCUGACUCAGCCAUUUACUAACUGUGUGACCUUAGGUGGAGUCUCACUCUGUAGCCCAAGCUGGAGUGGCGUGAUCUCGACUCACUGCAACCUCCGCCUCCUGGGAUCAAGUGAUUCUCGUGCCUCAGCCUCCUGAGUAGCCGGGACUACAGGUCACAGAAUUUUCCACACUCCUUGACAGAGGUGCUUAACCCUUAUCCAUCAGCAUUCUCAGACAGCACCUCCGGUUAGGGACAGUAUCUGACCGUCCGACAUCCCUGCAGCCCCCAUGUGUCACACAGACUCAGCCUCAGGUAGAUGGUUUCCGUAGAUGGUGGCUUUCUUUGGACCCUUGACAUCAACCAGUUACUAUUUGCUCAGCAAGGCCCACAUUUUCCCGGUGAAGCCACAGAACCACAGGGAGAAACCCAUGGACUUCGCCUCUCUCUCUAGGGGACCAGAUGUGCAGAGGUAAUGAAUACCAGGGAAUCAGGAAACCACUGGAUC
rnacentral:lncRNA from 1 species